UCAUGGACUCCACCAGCCGG
rnacentral:misc_RNA from 1 species